AAAAUCCCCAACGAAUUCCUCCACGUUUUCAGUGCUUCUCAAUUACUUCUUCCCUCUCUUUCGCGACAAGAAUUAUGCACAAGAAUUAACAUAAUGGAGAUGCUUUCGUCGCGAAUCAACCAAUUGUACUAGAAGAAGAGCAGCGGCGGAGAGGGAAGAAUGGUCGGGGGAUCGCAGAUGUCGUCAUGGAAGGAGCGGGAAAACAACAAGUGCCGGGAGCGGCGGCGGAGGGCCAUGGCGGUGAAGAUAUUCGCCGGCCUCCGCCUCUACGGCUCUCUGCCACGAGCCCGGCUGGACAGCCGAGCCCGAUGGGACCACCUAUCGCAAGGUCAUUUUCUCAAUUACCCGAUUUUCGAUCAAAUUCACAAUGUGUUAAUAUUGAUAACUAGCUUUUCCUCCCUUUGUUGACCAUGAUAUUUGCAGCAUCAAAUUAUAUUCUGUUAUGUGAUAAAAGUAAAAUAUGAGCAAGCAAAUGAGUGAAAACCCAUUGAAGCUGGAGGGGCGGAAAAUGAAAACCGUGAAGAAGACGCCCGGACAUUAUCAGAUUUUGUUCCACUGAAGCCAGGUCUCAAGCACAUUUGCAGGGGCAUCCUUCAUCAACAUUAGGGGUGCAACGCCCAGGAACUUUGCCUCAUUCUGGACAAUCAAUUAACUCGACUGAAGGGAAGGUGCCUGGUAAUCUGGGUGGUCUCCCUAAGAGCUUUGAAUCCCUUUAUGGUAAUCAAGGACCUUCCCUAAAUACUCUUGGUGAGGCACGUGAGACUAUGGGAAAACCUCCAUUUGAAAGUCAGUAUGGUUCCCAACAUCUUGUUAGGCCAAUGUCGAGUGAUCAGAUGUCAGGCUCUGGUGAAUGGCACCCUCUCAUCAAAUCUCAUUCCGACGAGCCAAAUUAUGUGAAAAUGAAUGGGGGUGCAGCUCCUGACCCCUCUACGUUUGGCUCUAGAGAUGAAAAUUCAAAUCACAUGCCCAAGGAGCAUUUAAAUCCUUUUCCCAGGGAGGUAACUCGCACUUUUGACCAAGCGCCAAGGUUGCUUCAUAAACCUCGCCAUGGGCAUGGUUAUGAUGCUGUAUCUAAGUUGGAUCCAGGUGCUACAGGCCCGUAUUCAAGAUUCUUGCCGCAUCAUCAAUCUGGUGGGCAUGGGCAUGUGGAUAUAUUCUACGGUAGCUGAACUUCGAUGCGCUCUGCCUCGCCUCCCCUGCUUUUAUGCCCGUGACCCUGCUCCUGAUUUCAAUGCUAACCAGAUUACAAUUUCUUCUCUAUUGGAGAAUGCUCGGAAAUGUAACCAGAUUACAACUUCUUCUCUAUUGGAGAAUGCUCGGAAAUGUAAAAAACAAAUGGGUGAUUCGUUUUUGUCUGUUGAGCAUCUAGUCUUGGCAUUCGCUUCGCUGCUGCAGGAGGGUGCUCGUCUCAGUGGAUGUUAAUGGUUAUCAGACAACACAUGUUGCAGCACAGUAUGGUCAAACGGCUUUCCUUUGUCACAUUGAAUGCUGAUGUUGAUGUUCCUGUAAUGAUGGAAGAAGCCCAUUGCACUGGGCUGCUUACAAGGGAUUUGCUGACUGCAUUCGCCUUCUGCUAUAUCUGAAUGCUCAUAGAAUGCAGCAAGAUAAAGAAGGGAAAUGCUAGAAGGUUGUUUUACAAAUGAUGGGAUAACAACAGCUUUCUCGGAAGACUUUCAAAGCUAGGACUUGCUCCAAUUCUUUGGUGUAUAAUUUUCCUGAUGCUUGCAACAUAUAUACAUUCAGUUAUUAUGGCUUCAAGUCUGCCGAGAUUAACAGCUGGCUUUGGUCUUUUUGCCUUGAUGGGUGUGUUCUUGGCAUCAAUAGGUCUAGUUUUCUUUCAUAGAUGUAGCAGCAAGGACCCUGACUUUAUCAGAAUGAAUGUUCUUGAUCUAGAAAAUAUGAAAGAUGAUGUAAGUAUGCUCGGGGAAUAGUUUAGUCAUUCAUUAUUUCAUAUUUGUGGCUCUUACCUUUUCAUGUAUGUGUAGUUUUUCCUGGUAUUGAAUUUAUUGAUUCCGUGUCGGAGCCAUUGCUAAAGAUCGAAAUUAAUAAUCCUGCUUUGAUUAAUGGAAAUUGAUCUCAGCUUUGUGCAACUUGCAAGUUGCAAGGUA